GACGAACGCUGGCGGCGUGCUUAACACAUGCAAGUCGAACGAGACGAUUGAAAGCUUGCUCUUAAAAGUCGAGUGGCAAACGGGUGAGUAACGCGUAGACAACCUGCCUUUGAGAUGGGGACAACAGUUCGAAAGGACUGCUAAUACCGAAUGUUGUAUAUUUUCCACAUGGAAGAUAUAUUAAAGAUGGCCUCUAUUUAUAAGCUAUCGCUCAAAGAUGGGUCUGCGUCUGAUUAGCUGGUUGGUGGGGUAACGGCCUACCAAGGCGACGAUCAGUAGCCGGUCUGAGAGGAUGAACGGCCACAUUGGGACUGAGACACGGCCCAGACUCCUACGGGAGGCAGCAGUGGGGAAUCUUCCACAAUGGACGAAAGUCUGAUGGAGCAACGCCGCGUGAGUGAAGAAGGGUUUCGGCUCGUAAAGCUCUGUUGUCGGGGACGAAUGUGCAGUAUUUGAAUAAAGUACUGCAAUGACGGUACCUGACGAGGAAGCCACAGCUAACUACGUGCCAGCCGCCGCAGUAA
rnacentral:rRNA from 1 species